AUUGAACGCUGGCGGUAUGCUUAACACAUGCAAGUCGAACGAUGAGAAAGAGCUUGCUCUUUCGAUUAGUGGCGGACGGGUGCGUAACGCGUAGGAAUCUACCUAUUAGUGGGGGACAACUUCGGGAAACUUAAGCUAAUACCGCAUACGCCCUACGGGGGAAAGAAGGGGAUCGCACGACCUUUUGCUAAUAGAUGAGCCUGCGUAGGAUUAGCUAGUUGGUGGGGUAAAAGCUCACCAAGGCGACGAUCCUUAACUGGUUUGAGAGAAUGAUCAGUCACACUGGAACUGAGACACGGUCCAGACUCCUACGGGAGGCAGCAGUGGGGAAUAUUGGACAAUGGGCGAAAGCCUGAUCCAGCAAUACCGCGUGUGUGAAGAAGGCCUUAGGGUUGUAAAGCACUUUCAAUUGGAAGGAAAACCUCGAAGCUAAUACCUUCGAGUUUGACAUUACCUUUAGAAGAAGCACCGGCUAACUCCGUGCCAGCAGCCGCGGUAA
rnacentral:rRNA from 1 species